AGAGUUUGAUCCUGGCUCAGAUUGAACGCUGGCGGCAUGCCUUACACAUGCAAGUCGAACGGCAGCACAGGUGCUUGCACCGGGUGGCGAGUGGCGAACGGGUGAGUAACACAUCGGAACGUGUCCUGGAGUGGGGGAUAGGCCGGCGAAAGCCGGGUUAAUACCGCAUACGAUCUGAGGAUGAAAGCGGGGGACCUUCGGGCCUCGCGCUCAAGGAGCGGCCGAUGGCGGAUUAGCUAGUUGGUGGGGUAAAGGCCCACCAAGGCGACGAUCCGUAGCUGGUCUGAGAGGACGACCAGCCACACUGGGACUGAGACACGGCCCAGACUCCUACGGGAGGCAGCAGUGGGGAAUUUUGGACAAUGGGGGCAACCCUGAUCCAGCAAUGCCGCGUGUGUGAAGAAGGCCUUCGGGUUGUAAAGCACUUUUGUCCGGAAAGAAAACUUCGUCCCUAAUAUGGAUGGAGGAUGACGGUACCGGAAGAAUAAGCACCGGCUAACUACGUGCCAGCAGCCGCGGUAAUACGUAGGGUGCGAGCGUUAAUCGGAAUUACUGGGCGUAAAGCGUGCGCAGGCGGUGAUGUAAGACCGAUGUGAAAUCCCCGGGCUUAACCUGGGAACUGCAUUGGUGACUGCAUCGCUGGAGUAUGGCAGAGGGGGGUGGAAUUCCACGUGUAGCAGUGAAAUGCGUAGAGAUGUGGAGGAACACCGAUGGCGAAGGCAGCCCCCUGGGCCAAUACUGACGCUCAUGCACGAAAGCGUGGGGAGCAAACAGGAUUAGAUACCCCAGUAGUCC
rnacentral:rRNA from 1 species